rnacentral:rRNA from 1 species
AGUGAGCGCUGGCGGUAGGCCUAACACAUGCAAGUCGAACGGCAGCACAGUAAGAGCUUGCUCUUACGGGUGGCGAGUGGCGGACGGGUGAGGAAUACAUCGGAAUCUACUUUUUCGUGGGGGAUAACGUAGGGAAACUUACGCUAAUACCGCAUACGACCUACGGGUGAAAGCAGGGGAUCUUCGGACCUUGCGCGAUUGAAUGAGCCGAUGUCGGAUUAGCUAGUUGGCGGGGUAAAGGCCCACCAAGGCGACGAUCCGUAGCUGGUCUGAGAGGAUGAUCAGCCACACUGGAACUGAGACACAGUCCAGACUCCUACGGGAGGCAGCAGUGGGGAAUAUUGGACAAUGGGCGCAAGCCUGAUCCAGCCAUACCGCGUGGGUGAAGAAGGCCUUCGGGUUGUAAAGCCCUUUUGUUGGGAAAGAAAAGCAGCAGGUUAAUACCCCGCUGUUCUGACGGUACCCAAAGAAUAAGCACCGGCUAACUUCGUG